GACGAACGCUGGCGGCGUGCUUAACACAUGCAAGUCGAACGAAGAGCGAUGGAAGCUUGCUUCUAUCAAUCUUAGUGGCGAACGGGUGAGUAACGCGUAAUCAACCCGCCCUUCAGAGGGGGACAACAGUUGGAAACGACUGCUAAUACCGCAUACGAUCUAACCUCGGCAUCGAGGAUAGAUGAAAGGUGGCCUCUACAUGUAAGCUAUCACUGAAGGAGGGGAUUGCGUCUGAUUAGCUAGUUGGAGGGGUAACGGCCCACCAAGGCGAUGAUCAGUAGCCGGUCUGAGAGGAUGAACGGCCACAUUGGGACUGAGACACGGCCCAGACUCCUACGGGAGGCAGCAGUGGGGAAUCUUCCGCAAUGGACGAAAGUCUGACGGAGCAACGCCGCGUGAGUGAUGACGGCCUUCGGGUUGUAAAGCUCUGUUAAUCGGGACGAAAGGCCUUCUUGCGAAUAGUGAGAAGGAUUGACGGUACCGGAAUAGAAAGCCACGGCUAACUACGUG
rnacentral:rRNA from 1 species